GUGGGGAAUUUUGGACAAUGGGCGCAAGCCUGAUCCAGCAAUGCCGCGUGCAGGAAGAAGGCCUUCGGGUUGUAAACUGCUUUUGUACGGAACGAAACGGUCCUGGUUAAUACCCGGGGCUAAUGACGGUACCGUAAGAAUAAGCACCGGCUAACUACGUGCCAGCAGCCGCGGUAAUACGUAGGGUGCAAGCGUUAAUCGGAAUUACUGGGCGUAAAGCGUGCGCAGGCGGUGCUGUAAGACAGGCGUGAAAUCCCCGGGCUUAACCUGGGAAUUGCGCUUGUGACUGCAGUGCUGGAGUGCGGCAGAGGGGGAUGGAAUUCCGCGUGUAGCAGUGAAAUGCGUAGAUAUGCGGAGGAACACCGAUGGCGAAGGCAAUCCCCUGGGCCUGCACUGACGCUCAUGCACGAAAGCGUGGGGAGCAAACAGGAUUAGAUACCCUGGUAGUCC
rnacentral:rRNA from 1 species